rnacentral:lncRNA from 1 species
CAGUUGAUGAAGCCGUGCGCAACCACCACAAAACCAAACCGUCCCUGUUCACGAUCAGGCCCUUUUAAAGAUCUUAAACCUAACUUAGAUUAAGAUUAAGAAUCUUAAUCAGGCCCAAACAAGGCCCAGAAAACCCUUGGAACUGUUGGAUCUCGAUCGGAAGCGACCAGGGCCGUCCGAUCACGAUCGGUCCAUGAAACAGUGCCAUAGACCGUGAGAAACGCAUC